rfam:Solanum tuberosum cultivar DM 1-3 516 R44 scf00331_15, whole genome shotgun sequence.
AAUAUAUGUAGAGAGCUUUCUUUAGUCCACAUAAAGGGGGCAGUAUGGUUCAAUUAGCUGCUGACUCAUUCACACAAAUGCUAAGGUUUUGAUAGUUAGAAGAAGGAAAGGCCUUAGUAAUUGAGUGAAUGAUGCGGUAGACUGAUUGAAUCUUAAGCUUCUUUUGCUUGGACUGAAGGGAGCUCCCUCUUCAUAGUUA